rnacentral:rRNA from 1 species
UACGAAGGGGGCUAGCGUUGCUCGGAAUCACUGGGCGUAAAGCGCACGUAGGCGGACUCUUAAGUCGGUGGUGAAAUCCUGGAGCUCAACUCCAGAACUGCCUUCGAUACUGCGGGUCUCGAGUCCGGGAGAGGUGAGUGGAAUUCCUAGUGUAGAGGUGAAAUUCGUAGAUAUUAGGAAGAACACCAGUGGCGAAGGCGGCUCACUGGCCCGGUACUGACGCUGAGGCGGCGAAAGCGUGGGGAGCAAACAGG